rnacentral:lncRNA from 1 species
UGCUCAUUGAGUCUAUAAUGACAACUUCUUUCCUGUAUUUUUUCCAGGUUCCCUUGAAAAAAAUGUUAAAGAUGCUGAGAAGUCUGGGGCUGGAAUAUCAUUAAAAUACUAGUUAACAGGAUGCUAUGAUCUUCCGUAUCCAGAGUUUGCAGGUGUCCAGGUAGGACAUGUUUGACACUGGGAAGGAAUGUUUCCCUGAUAAUCAUCUCAGCACCCAGGUUCCCUCAAAGGGAGGUUCAGGAUGUCAAGAAGGCAAUAGCCAGAACUUUUUGCAUAAGUCAGGAAAGAAUUAAGGUUCUGGUGCCUCCUUGGUAACCACCUCAUCUUCUGUAUUCAGGUCAAAUACAGAUGUGUUUGCAUAACAACAUGUUCCUGUUUCUCCUGUUUAUGUAUCCACUUCAUGACCAGGCCAGCUGAGCAUACAAAGCCUGUGCCUCAUCAACCCUGAUAGCCUUUUUUCUAGUACAGAUUGGAGUACUCGGGGUGAAACUUUCAUAGUUGUGUCUUUCUAGGGCUAGUGUGGUGUCCAGUGUCUUUUUGGUAUUGUGAGAGAGCACCAGGUAAUGUUGAAUUCAUACAAGACUUGGGAGGGGAGUAAGCUGGGAAGGAGCUCAUUUUGUGAGGUGGGCCACUGAGACUUGGAUUAGAGCAGUUCAGCAGAUGUCUCCUCAACUAGGCCCAAUUUCUGUUGCAUGGCAAGUUUGUGGGCCCAUAGGAGAGGUCCAGUAAUGAUUAUAAAUGAUGCAAUGACAUGGAGAUUCUGUGGACAGAUAUAUAACAGAGGACUGGUAAAGGAUAGAUUCUCCUUGACCAUUUUAUCCAGUGAGCGUUCCAGAACUCACCACGAACCCUUAAAUAUCAGUGACCCCAUUCAGAUACCAGGUGUGCAGGAGGCAGUUGUUCAACUCUGGAGGACAGAACUGUCAUCCUGUAUUCAUCCCAGCAUUCAGGUAAGAUUCAACAUCCUCUAA